GAAAAAGUUACAAAAUGAUGACCAGGUGUCAGGUGCACAGGAAUGGGGGUUGGGGGGAGCAGUGAGAGGUGAAAAGAGCAGCCAGAUCUUUGUUUUCUCAGCUUUCCUGAGCUGUCAUUCACAGGCAACAUUGUAUCCUUUGAAGCCCGUGGGAGGAGAUGGUUUGAUACAUUUGUCUGUUGCAAAACAUUCCCGCCAUAGUGUUAGCUGGUAUUUCCGUCCCCGGGCGGGCUCGCCAUUUCUUUUUUGUGCUGCGAACAUUUAAGACCGAGUCUCCUAGCAACUUUCCAGUACAUAAUAUGGUCUGAUUAACUGUAAUCACCGCGCUGUACCUCAGAUGUCUAGAACUUACUCACAUGCGCAAGUUUCUACCCUUUGACCAGCGUCUCCCCAAUUAGCAGCAGCCAGAUCUUGAAGAGGCUUGCCAAGUACGACAGGACUCUGGACUUACUUUCAUCCCGAGCACAACGAGAAAUACACAACCCAUAUACGUAGGGGAAAAAAAGACCUCACGCCACCACGUUGACUCACGGUUCGUUUCGUAAUUCGCAGCGUGGGUAGCUUACGGGUCUGGAAGCAAUGUCACCUACAGUGAGUCACAGGGCCGCAGGGCUGAGAGACGUCAAAGGAAAAUUCGAUGCCAGGAGGACAAAUCGGAGAAGCUCAAGGGGGAGCUAGCUAAUAUGCCAGCACACAUCCCGAGAACUGACUGAAGUACAGGGACCUUUGGGCACCUACAGCUUGGAGGGAAAGAUGCGUUUGGGCAGGCAGAAAGAGGCCACCCAGCCAUGGAAAAGCCACCGUUGUCACUCUCUCCAGUGCCUUCAUUCAAGGAGGAAGCAAAAGUGUGUGGAAAACGUUCCAGUUGAUGGGGCGGACCGAACAGAAACGCAGCAGCAUCGGACAAAUUCAUGGCUACAUUCAUGACUAAACUCAACGAAGUGGAUACAUUCCUUGGCUAAAAGGACUGGAGGGUCUUCUUAUCCCCUGAUGCCCUUGUCUGAGUCUGAGGAACCGGGGCCUCACCCACAGUGAGGCACUUCCAUACGCUUGUGUUCUCCCGUCCUUCAAAUGCCCGGGCUCGAGUCCUUGCUGCGGCACAUUCGUGCCCUCCCCUUCUCCCCACAUCCUGAAACCACCACCCAAGGUGACCUGCAGACGGGAAGCUUCUUCUCGGCUCCGCCUCCCCGGCCGCACCCCCCCACUUCCUUUCCCCAACUGCAGUGUGGGCUCAACUCGGGAUGAGUGUAAGCCUCUUGCUCUGCCUGUAUUUUAUGAUGCUGUGGAAAACAGAGUGCUGGCAUGUAAAAAAAAUUUUUUUUAAUGUUUUCAUUUUUGAGACAGAGCAUAAGCGGGGGAGGGGGGGCAGAGAGAGAGGGAGACACAGAAUCCGAAGC